rnacentral:rRNA from 1 species
UACGGAGGAUGCAAGCGUUAUCCGGAAUGAUUGGGCGUAAAGCGUCCGCAGGUGGCUGUGUAAGUCUGCUGUCAAAGAGCAAAGCUCAACUUUGUAAAGGCAGUGGAAACUACACGGCUAGAGUGCGUUCGGGGCAGAGGGAAUUCCUGGUGUAGCGGUGAAAUGCGUAGAGAUCAGGAAGAACACCGGUGGCGAAAGCGUUCUGCUAGACCUGUACUGACACUGAGGGACGAAAGCUAGGGGAGCGAAUGGG